GACGAACGCUGGCGGCGUGCUUAACACAUGCAAGUUGAACGAUGAAGCCGGAGCUUGCUCUGGUGAAUUAGUGGCGAACGGGUGGGUAACACGUGAGUAACCUGCCCUUGACUCUGGGAUAACUGCGGGAAACUGUAGCUAAUACCGGAUACGACCCUCGGAGGCAUCUCCUGGGGGUGGAAAGAAUUUCGGUCAAGGAUGGACUCGCGGCCUAUCAGCUAGUUGGUGAGGUAAAGGCUCACCAAGGCGACGACGGGUAGCCGGCCUGAGAGGGUGACCGGCCACACUGGGACUGAGACACGGCCCAGACUCCUACGGGAGGCAGCAGUGGGGAAUAUUGCACAAUGGGCGCAAGCCUGAUGCAGCAACGCCGCGUGAGGGAUGACGGCCUUCGGGUUGUAAACCUCUUUUAGUAGGGAAGAAGCGAAAGUGACGGUACCUGCAGAAAAAGCACCGGCUAACUACGUGCCAGCCGCCGCAGUAA
rnacentral:rRNA from 1 species